rnacentral:rRNA from 1 species
GAUGAACGCUGGCGGCGUGCCUGACACAUGCAAGUCGAACGAAGCGAUUUAACGGAAGUUUUCGGAUGGAAGUUGAAUUGACUGAGUGGCGGACGGGUGAGUAACGCGUGGGUAACCUGCCUUGUACUGGGGGACAACAGUUAGAAAUGACUGCUAAUACCGCAUAAGCGCACAGUACCGCAUGGUACGGUGUGAAAAACUCCGGUGGUAUGAGGUGGACCCGCAUCUGAUUAGGUAGUUGGUGGGGUAACGGCCUACCAAGCCGACGAUCAGUAGCCGACCUGAGAGGGUGACCGGCCACAUUGGGACUGAGACACGGCCCAA